rnacentral:rRNA from 1 species
GACGGAGGGGGCUAGCGUUGUUCGGAAUGACUGGGCGUAAAGCGCGUGUAGGCGGUCUUUUAAGUUAGGCGUGAAAGCCCAGGGCUUAACCCUGGAACUGCGCUUAAGACUGGAAGACUAGAGUAAUGUAGAGGUGAGUGGAAUUCCUAGUGUAGAGGUGAAAUUCGUAGAUAUUAGGAGGAACACCAGAGGCGAAGGCGGCUCACUGGACAUUUACUGACGCUGAGACGCGAAAGCGUGGGGAGCAAACAGG